CACGCCGUAAACGAUGAAUACUAGGUGUAGGGGGUAUCGACCCCUCCUGUGCCGGAGUUAACACAAUAAGUAUUCCACCUGGGGAGUACGGCCGCAAGGUUGAAACUCAAAGGAAUUGACGGGGGCCCGCACAAGCAGUGGAGUAUGUGGUUUAAUUCGACGCAACGCGAAGAACCUUACCAGGGCUUGACAUCGUCUGAUCGCCGUGGAGACACGGUUUUCCCUUCGGGGACAGAUAGACAGGUGG
rnacentral:rRNA from 1 species